rnacentral:rRNA from 1 species
AUUGAACGCUGGCGGCAGGCCUAACACAUGCAAGUCGAACGAGUGGCGGACGGGUGAGUAAUGUCUGGGAAACUGCCUGAUGGAGGGGGAUAACUACUGGAAACGGUAGCUAAUACCGCAUACCAUCGGAUGUGCCCAGAUGGGAUUAGCUAGUAGGUGGGGUAAAGGCUCACCUAGGCGACGAUCCCUAGCUGGUCUGAGAGGAUGACCAGUCACAUGGGAACGGAGACACGCCCCAGCCGCCUGCGGGUGCCGGCAUGUGGGAUGUUUUCAAAAUGGGCGAAAGCCUGAUGGCGCCAUGCCGGGUGUAGGAAGAAGGCCUUAGGGUUGUAAAGUACUUCCAGCGGGGAGGCGUGCCCCGAAGAAGAAGCACCGGCUAACUCCUUGCCAGCAGCGUCGGUAAUUC